ACAGAGACUGCAAGCGUUAUUCGGAUUCACUGGGCGUAAAGGGUGCGCAGGCGGUUGGGUGUGUCAGGUGUGAAAGCCCGAGGCUUAACCUCGGAAUUGCGCCUGAAACUACUCGACUAGAGGACUGGAGAGGGUAGCGGAAUUCACGGUGUAGCAGUGAAAUGCGUAGAUAUCGUGAGGAACACCAGAGGCGAAGGCGGCUACCUGGACAGUACCUGACGCUCAGGCACGAAAGCGUGGGGAGCAAAAGGGAUUAGAUACCCCUGUAGUCCACGCCCUAAACGGUGCACACUAGGUCUUGGCGGAUUCGACCCCUCCAGGGCCCAAGCUAACGCGUUAAGUGUGCCGCCUGAGGACUACGGCCGCAAGGCUA
rnacentral:rRNA from 1 species